rnacentral:lncRNA from 1 species
CCGCUCCCGGCAGCCCCCGCCGUCUCCGGACCGAGGGCCGGCGGCCGCCAUCUUUGUGAGGGGCGGCGGGCGGCGCAGACGCGAUGUCGAGGAGGAGGAGGAGCGUGGGCGGAGGCGCGGAGCCGCGGCCCAGCGUGGCCGUGACCGUGACCGUGGCCGUGACCGUGGCCGCGGCCGCGGCGGCGGCGGCCUGGCUGCGGGGCGGCCGGGAAGCUGCCUCGAGGCCCCGGCUGCUCCGCGCCGCCGAGCUGGGCCGCUACCGCGGGGGCGCGGGCGAGCCCGGCCUCUACCUGGCCCUGCUGGGCCGCGUGUUCGACGUGGAGGCCGGGCGGGCCCACUACGCGCGCGGCCGCGCCUACAGCGGCCUGGCCGGUGCGCGCCCCCGACGCGGGCCGGGCCGGGGGGGGGAUGGGGGGGGAUGGGGGGGCGUCUCCUAGGCAUCCCCAGGGGCGUGGUCUGCGCCUCCCUCCCCCCCGGGACCCCCUUCUCCUGCACCCCCACGGGCCUCCCCCGCUGAGCCCGGCCCCGUCCCUGCAGGUCGCGACGCCUCCCGAGCCUUUGUGACCGGGGACUUCUCGCGGGACGGCCUGAGCGACGACGUGUCGGACUUUGGCCCCGCGCAGAUGCUCAUCCUGCGGGACUGGCUGCUGUUCUACGAGGAGAACUACGCCUUCGUGGGUGCGGGCCUCCCUGGGCGUCCUCCCCCCCCCCCCGGGGGUCCCGGGGCCCCUCGGCCCCAAGCGCCGUCUGGGGGGAUGGGCGUGUAAAAGGGGCGCAGGAAAGUUUGGGAGAGGUUCGCCCAGCAGGGGGCGCAGCGUGGCGGGAGGGGGGCGUUGCCGGAAGAAGCUGGGGCCGAGACCCGAAGGACCCCCCCGCCCCCCCCCUGGAAAGGGGGCGGGGCUGGCGACCAGCCCCAGCCAGCGAGGGGAGGAGAGUUAGCGGCUCGGAAUAAAACCGGCCACCGGAGGCGAGGAGGCGGCUGGUCCCGGGCCGUGAGCUGGGUGUGCCCAGGUGUGAGAGCCCCUGCGGCCCGGGGCCGUGAGCUGGGUGUGCCCAGGUGUGAGACUCGGGCGCCCGGCGGGGACGCGCCCGGAAAGAGCCGCUGCCGGGACUCUGGGCGCCCGGAUGGCGGAUGCGGAAGAAGCCCCCAGACCCACGCUCUGCGGCCCCGCCCCCACUUGCCCUCUGGCGCCCUGCCCCCUCCCGCGGCCUUCAGGAAGGAGUCUGAAGGGCUCCUGGCUGCCCCUGGUUCCAGUUGUCUUAUCUCCCCUGAUCCCACGCCCUCGGGCUGCCCCGGCUGCUCCCGCUGCCCUUUGCUCCUUCCCCACCCUUGUUACUUCCAGGACCUUUGACUUAGCGUCCGUUUCCUGCUUCUCCCCUGCCCAGGGACGGGCUCCACGGCUGCGUGUGGCUUUCCCCGUUAGGGGCUGAGCUCCUUACAGGCACAUGCUGUGCUUUGCCUUUCUUCCUGUCCUCGGUGCUGAGCACUAGCGUCUGGCGCACAGUAGGUGCUCAGAAAACCUUUAUUAACCUUUCUUCCACAAAAGGACUCUUCUGGUAUUGGAGGAUGGCUGUCCGGUCCCCCUAAUAUCCCCCUCAUAUCUGUUCUCCAAAUAAAAUGCCCUCGUCUCCUUCAGCUGACCCCCACCCGGCCUGGUCUCCAGCCUCUUCCCCAUCCUUUUGGACCCCAAAGAUUUAGGAGUCCAGCUUCCUCGUUUUGUAGACCAGAAAUCAAGUCCUGGAAGAAGAAGAAGGUUUGACUCCUUGGAGAGCACUAUGGGAAGAAAAAGGUCAUUUGCCUUUCCCUGGAUUGCCCAGUCUUUCUUCUGAUCUCCCCAGCUCCGUUCUCCUCAGGUUCACUCCCAUAAGUGUCCUUGGGGCGUUCCCACUUUGUUGCCAAAAUAAUCCCCAUAAACCCCGGCCCAGGCAGCCCCAGCCCCCAAAUCUUUGAUGACAACUACCUAGAAAAUGCAGGACUCUCCACCAUCGGAGGGGUGACCAUCACAUGCAGCUCCCUGUCAUAGGUGAACCCCCUCCCCACCCUUUCCUUCUCUGUCCCUUUGCCUGGGGUGCCCUCCCCCAUUUUCUCUACUUAAGCGCUCCCCUUCUUUCAGGGUCCAGGCUAAGCCCUCACUCUCGUACAGAAGCCUUCCCCAAGGUCCCUAGGCUCCGGAACUGCUCUUCUUUGUCACAGAGCUUCCUCCCUGCCCCCUGCAUUAUCUGCCAUCCUUUGGGCCAUUUUAUUUCCCCAAUUUGGUUAAAGUUCACGGUCUAGAUUCUGGUUUGUCCGGGAGCCAGGACAAGAGGUGAGGGCUGAACUUGGAGGACGGGGCAAGGACUCGGGGCAAAGCCCAGUUCAGCACAACAGGGAGCCCUGAGUUCGCUGGUCUGGCGGGAGCCAGGAGGCCAUGAGGAAACCUGGUGGGAAGUAAAACUAGAAAGACAGACACGGCUCACACCAUGGGAGAAAGUCACCAGAUGCCCGCUGUACCAGGUGCCAGGUGGCUCUUCAAAGGCGGGUCCUAGAGAAUAGACACUGCCAAGGGAAAUGGACUCCUUGGAUCUCGGCGCUCCUCUGAGGUCAGGAGGGCGGGCAUUUUGCUUUCCUCCGACGGUCCUCCCAAGUGCCUGCUCUUCUGGUCCUCCCUCCCCAAUUAGGACUCACAGGCUGAUUCCCUGGAUGAGGACGACAGUGGGAAGAGACCCCAGACCUGCACUUCUGAACUCGGCUGUCCAGUGAUUGGUGACUUCGAGGGAUGAUGUCUUACCUGGCUCAUGAAUGGGAUUUCAGUGAGGCAGUUGCCCAGUCAUCAGAGGUCGUGGAAGACGAAAGCCAGGGGGGCUGGCAGUGACGCGGGAGGUAGUGGAGACACCCGACCAAGCUCCAAGCUCCAAGCCUUCGUGGCGCCAGAACGGAUCGUAGACGUCUUCCCGUGUUUGGGGCAGACGUACUCGUCCGGGGCUUUGAGGCCCACCCGCUGAGACGGUUUUACUGGGAAGAGGCUGUUUUGUGUGCCACAACUCCUUGGAACCGUAGGUGAGAGGUGGGGACAGGUGGACCCAAGGGUUCGGCAAGCCCUCCCACUCCGGGCGCUGGUCCUCCUGGAGUGCUCCACACUUCUCCUGGGUUACGUAGGACAUGAGCGCCUGACAUUGAGUAGUGAGCCCCAGGAUAAGGAGCGGAGGACAGGCAUUUCCCGGAGUAGCGCAGGAGGAGAUUUCCUGGAGUAUUUCUUUACAAACGCCCGCCUCGUCGCAGAGAACGAGCAUAAGGCGAGUUUGUUUUUAUUUCACCAAAGCCAGGUGGAGGGUGGCUGUCGGAGUCCAGAGUCUUUGAUUCUUUCAACGGUUUCAGGAACAUUUCAGAAACUUCCAACUGAAGCCCAUUUCCAGGCCUUGCUCCCGGCAGAACCCUGAUGCUGAGAGCAGUCUGGGCUCGUUGUGUGAUGGGCCAUCAGGAAAGAAUGGCGAGACCGGCCCAGAGCCCUCCGCCAGAUCCCUCUGCCCAGCUUUGUGACCGGAUGCUCCCCUGCGUGCAUCAGUACCCAGGCCAGGAUGCUCGCCUAAAGUUCUCAGAGAUUCCCCACCUCCAUUUCUCUGGAAGAGAAGGCCCUCUCGGUCACCCACCCCUUAAAAUCCAGUUCACACGAAUGAAGCGUUAAGUGUCCGUAAUUAAGUGCUUCCCAUGGGCAAAGCCCUGCGCCGAGUGCUGGGGAGAGGAGAAAAGCUCUCGGCGCUCAUUCCAGCUUCCCGACUCUCCGGUUGGCAAAGACCACGGAGCCCUGUGAGGCCUUCCUCAGGGACACCCGCCCCGGAUUAUUGGCAGCAGCCGCUAAGCCCCUCCGCUGUCUCCCCGCCGGACUCUAGCCUGAGGACCUGGCCCUAGUCAGGCAGCAGUUUGGGUUUUAGAAGGAUCGUUCAGACAAAAGACUUUUGCCGGCCCAGGGGAAGCUUUCCGGGGACUGAGGGGGAGCAGUAGGUUGCCGGGGCCCUGCCCUCACCCAGCGGCCGUGGCUGAGGGGACUUUGCCUUGCAGAGAGGGGGCAGGACUGAGUGUUUGGGACAUGUGUCUUGGGGACUGGUCGGGAAGCCCUGCAGGUGGGGAGACCCGGCCCCGGCCGCUCUCAUCUCGCUGUUCUCUUGCUCCCAGGAAAGCUGAUUGGGAGGUUCUACAAGGAAAAUGGAGAGCCCACUCCCGCCCUCCUCCGGGCGGAGGCCACCAUGGCACAGGGGGUGGCAGCCAGGGAGACAGAAGACGGACAGAAGCAGCAGUUCCCCCCGUGCAACUCGGAGUGGAGUUCGGCCAGCCCGGGCCGCUUCUGGUGCUCCAAACAGAGCCCUGAGGGAUGGCCGCUAUUAUUGCCCCGAUUUACAAAUGAGGAAGCUGAGGGAGACUAGGUGAAAUGACUUGCCCAGUCUGAGGCUGGAUUUGAACGGAGGACUUCCUGACUCCAGACCCAGCCAUCCUCUGGGGGAGGCCGCAGAGGUGACCGGGCCCGAAAGCCGGGGGAUAAAUGGCCGCGGCAGGAUCCGCUGCCCCCUGGAGUCUCCCUCGGGCCCGGCUUGUGUGUGAGGAGGUGCUGCUGCCCGCAGUGUCGGGGGCAGGGGAGACCCGGCAGCGGAGGGAGCAGGGAGCCUGCGGCCUUUUCGUUUGCCGGAACCUGGGCCUUUGAGAAUGAGUUUCCUGAGUCUCAGCUUCACCAACAAUGCAUCGGCACGCGCUGCCCACGCCUGUGCCCUUUGCUGUGGCCGCUUUUCCUUGGGGGCUCCCCCAGACCCCCAUCUGUCACCGCCACUGGUGCUGUAAGGGGGGAGCCCAGCUCCCAGCUGCGCUUUCUGAGUGUCAGCGUGACCCGGCUGCGCCCCUUCCCACAGUGCCGCCCCAGGCUGUCUCCUAGGCCCGGGGCCCCCAUAUUCUCAGCCAGGGCAGGGGGCUUUUUGUGAGACACCGGGAGGUCAGGGGAGUGUCCUUUGGGAACUGCCCCCCCACCCAAUCCUUGGCUCUGGGAGGCCGAGCUCCAGGGCCACUUUCUGCUCUUCUGUCCGCAGCGGAGGCGUGACCAGGGCCUGGGCCGGGGUCCCCAGAAAGCUGUAUCAGCCGGGGGGGAAGAAGCCCCGCUGUGUGUGUGUGAGAGCCACGGGCCCCCCCACCGGCCAGCCGGCCUCCGCCAGCCAUGGCGACCGUGGCGACCUGGACGACCCGAGCCUGCAGGAGUACCCGGGCUGCCCGCCGCUGGCCAGCAGCUGCACCGUGCGAGACUGAGGCCUCGGGCGGCAGCGGCGGCGGCGGCGGGAGCUGGGAGAGGAAGGAGGGGAAGGGGAGACGCCGGGAAGCUCCAGCAGAGCAGCUGAGAGGGCGGGCAGGUGCCCUCCUCCCCCUCCCCACUGGCGCCCUGCCUGAGCAAGACCAAAGCAGGUGUUGGUAGUGGGGGCCUCAGAGCCGGGCGUGGGGGGAGGGGGCGCCUUCGGGGAGCCUGGCCUUCAGGCUGGCCAGCCAAGCCACGGAGCCACCCCCGACCACGUGCAGCGGCCGGGCCACCUAUGGGGCGAAUGAGCCAAACACCGUUGUUAAGCGCCCGCCAUGGGCCGGGCCCUGGUGUCGCGCCGGAAGCGAGGCCGAAUGCAGGCCGGGCCCACUUUCUUACUGGUUUUUCCUUCUGUGGUUUCUUUUACGACGUGAUCUACGGGAAUGGCAGGACUGCAGUUUGUACCCCUCCUCCAGCUGCUCGCCCUCUCAGCAAGGGGGGGGGGGGCAUUUGGAGCCACUUGGCUUUUCAUCUUACUUGAUUUUUCCCCCAGUUACAUUCAGAACAAAUUUGAUUUGUUUGUUUUUAAGAUUUUUG